CAGCACUAAGGGGCGGAAACCCCCUAACACUUAGCACUCAUCGUUUACGGCGUGGACUACCAGGGUAUCUAAUCCUGUUCGCUCCCCACGCUUUCGCUCCUCAGCGUCAGUUACAGACCAGAGAGUCGCCUUCGCCACUGGUGUUCCUCCACAUCUCUACGCAUUUCACCGCUACACGUGGAAUUCCACUCUCCUCUUCUGCACUCAAGUUCCCCAGUUUCCAAUGACCCUCCCCGGUUGAGCCGGGGGCUUUCACAUCAGACUUAAGAAACCGCCUGCGAGCCCUUUACGCCCAAUAAUUCCGGACAACGCUUGCCACCUACGUAUUACCGCGGCUGCUGGCACGUAGUUAGCCGUGGCUUUCUGGUUAGGUACCGUCAAGGUACSCCCUAUUYGAACGGUACUUGUUCUUYCCUAACAACAGAGCUUUACGAUCCGAAAACCUUCAUCACUCACGCGGCGUUGCUCCGUCAGACUUUCGUCCAUUGCGGAAGAUUCCCUACUGCUGCCUCCCGUAGAGGUCUGGGCCGUGUCUCAGUUCCCAGUGUGGCCGA
rnacentral:rRNA from 1 species